GGAAUUAUUUUAGCCUACCAGAGAAAAAAAGCUUGUACAGCUCUAGCCUUCACUGUUUUCAGAGUUUGAUUUCCUUUCUUUCAUCUGCUGCCUUUCAGGAGGAUUUGCCCUCAGGUUUUAAUUUUUGUAAAUCCGUUAAGAUCAAAGAAGAUAAGUGCUCCUUGGAAGGAAGUAUCUGAAAUAUACAAACCUACGCUCUUUAAAAUCAGGUACUCAAUAAGUGACCACCUUUCCGUCAUUUCAGAGGGGCGGGGGAAUUCAGUAAAGAACUGAUACGUUCAACUAUUUAAUCCUGUUACACUGGCUAGUCCAAGAGGCCUUUCCCACAUAAUGACCAGAGACGUAUGAAAGUAGAAAAGGGGCAGGAAAUGAAAUAUAAAGAUACAGUCACUCUGAAACAAAUGCAUGUUUUUUUUCCCUCUCUGAUCUCUGUGAAGACACUCGUCUGAACUCACGGCGACACAACGGCUUAGCUGUCGCCACAAGUAAGUGGACUUGGCAGUCCUGUCGAAAUGACCUUACAGUUUCAAGUCUACGAGACAGCCUUUUUUUUGUUUCAGGUAAAAGGGCACGAAUCUGAUUGCCCACACAAAUACUGCGAUUUAAAAUAAAAAGACCCAGGCAGCAAAGAACCGAGGAUCGCUUCGUGGAAGUGAAAAGGAACCCAAGAUCAUUCACUCUUAAGCGGACUCAGGGCCUCGACUUCUUGCUAAGCAAAGUUCAGUACUGUAGCCAUGGCAGGCACUACGUGGGGCUGGUGUUGACCGCAGGCUGGCAUAAAGCAGGAGCAAUGAGACUGAAAUCAGUAGCUUUACACUCCCGCAGUCCCAUGAGCAUGAAGAUCGGAAUCUGGGGAAAAGGCUUCUUUUUUAAAAAACUAUAGCAAAUUGGAUUUUUUUUUUCUAGAUUGCAGAUCCUACAUUUCAAAGAUAGAGGAAGCCGGGUCCUGCGCUCUCCAUAGGCGCAUGCAUUAUACAUACUCGCUUCUUUUGGAGUGAAUGAUAUUGCAGCUUUAAACGAGUGGCCGCGUAGGGCAUUUUAAAAUAUUUUGAAUUAAUUUGAACUCUAUUCUGGGAUAUAUAUUUUUUUAGAGGACGUGUCUGGCGAAAUCCUAUCCGGAUCGUAAUUGAAAGCCUUUUAUUGAAUGGCUGAGCCGGGGGAAUGGGCACGUUUCUGAGCAGCCUUGCGGAUGCGGGGUUCACAGAACUGGGAGAAAGUUGGUCUCUCCUGGGAAACUGUAUCCACUGCUUUUUAAAUCUCGCCUCUGUAAGGAAUAGGCACGAGCGGGAUUUUUGGCAGCCAGCAAACUUAUUACAACUCAAAUGUCCA